CACACACACACACACACACACACACACACACACUUGUCCCUCCUCCAGUUCUGUGUUCUUCAGCAAUCAGAGCGUCAGACUGAGAGACGCCUCAGUGUUUCAGCUGAAGCUCCACCAUGCGCCGUGUGGCUCUCCUGCUCCUCCUCAUUGGUCAGAUCUCUGCAGACUGUCAGCAGCAGAAGGCUCUUGAAGCGCGAAUGGACAGUGUGGAGAAGCGUGUGGAUCAGGCUGUGGAUCUGCUGGAGUCUGAAGUGGCUCUUCUUCUGCAGACUCUGGAUCAGAGCCCCCUGCUGGACACUCCUAAAGCUGACAUCCUGGAGGAGCCCCCCGCAACACACACCUGACCGCUAGACUUUCUGCAUGCACAAGAACAGAGCAGAACAGAGGAUUUUCUUCUGGCAUCCUGAAAAGCCAAAACAGGUUUUACUGAGUCGUUUUCCUCAUGUUAAAUUGAAUCGAGUCAUUUAUACUGUUUAAAUGAAAGUGAACUGCAUUGAUUACUAGCUUUGCUUCAUUCUGGUGAGACUUUUAUCUUGUAAUGUUGACGAUGGUCACAUGAUCAGUCACUGUAUGAAUAUGAACACAUGACCUAUAAUAGAGUGUUUACAUGGUCAUGUGACUCUAUCUGGAUUCUCAAUGCUUUGUUGUGUCCAGUAAAUGUGUCUUCUGUCCCAGCAUGCAUAGUGCUGUAAGGAGGACUUUUAUCUGU